rnacentral:tRNA from 1 species
GCCUGGGUGGCUCAGUCGGUUAAGCGGCUGACUUUGGCUCAGGUCAUGAUCUCACGGUUCGUGGGUUCGAGUCCCGCAUCGGGCU